AGUGAACGCUGGCGGUAGGCCUAACACAUGCAAGUCGAACGGCAGCACAGUAAGAGCUUGCUCUUACGGGUGGCGAGUGGCGGACGGGUGAGGAAUACAUCGGAAUCUACUUUUUCGUGGGGGAUAACGUAGGGAAACUUACGCUAAUACCGCAUACGACCUACGGGGGAAAGCAGGGGAUCUUCGGACCUUGCGCGAUUGAAUGAGCCGAUGUCGGAUUAGCUAGUUGGCGGGGUAAAGGCCCACCAAGGCGCCGAUCCGUAGCUGGUCUGAGAGGAUGAUCAGCCACACUGGAACUGAGCCACGGUCCCGACUCCUACGGGAGGCAGCAGUGGGGAAUAUUGGACAAUGGGCGCAAGCCUGAUCCAGCCAUACCGCGUGGGUGAAGAAGGCCUUCGGGUUGUAAAGCCCUUUUGUUGGGAAAGAAAAGCAGCAGGUUAAUACCCCGCUGUUCUGACGGUACCCAAAGAAUAAGCACCGGCUAACUUCGUG
rnacentral:rRNA from 1 species